rnacentral:lncRNA from 1 species
UCAAGCAUCCUUGCUUGCUUCCUUGGCCCACUGGUAUGAGGCGGCUUUUGCUGGGCCGUUACCGUGGGCGCGCCAGCGGGAGAGAGCGGGAUAUGAUAUGAGGCGGCUUUUACUGGGCCGUUUCCCUGCGAAGCAGGUGGAAGCUUCCCGAAAUCACUAAUUAAUGAGUAUUCCUUGCGGAGAUCACUCCAACUUUCCCAGGUUGCGACAAGUGGCGCGCUGCAUGUGCGCCACUUGUCGCAACCUUGGAGUUUUCCCUUUUUUCGUAGAUCCGUUUAUUCAAAAUAUUUUAUCUCUUAAACCGUGCGUCCAAAUCUCGAAUCGCUUUCACCAUUGGAUUCCUCGCGUCGAGAUCUUCAAAACUAGAUCCCAUGUUGAUAGAUUUUGACGAAUUUUUUUUUCCACGAAAAAACCGGACGAAAUAAACCGACGAAAAAACCGAACCGGAAACACGGGUUUUUUUCCCUUUUCGAAAGAGGCACACAUGUGCCUCUGACGAAAGCACAACCGUGCCUCUGGCGGAAGCAAAACCAUGCCUCUCGCGAAAGAAAAAAAACAGAAAACGCGUUUUUUUCCUUUUCCAAAAGAGGCACGCCCGUGCCUCUCACGAAAGCACAACCGUGCCUCUGGCGGAAGCAAAACCGUGCCCUCGCGAAAGAAAACAAAAACAGAAAANNNNNNNNNNNNNNNNNNNNNNNNNNNNNNNNNNNNNNNNNNNNNNNNNNNNNNNNNNNNNNNNNNNNNNNNNNNNNNNNNNNNNNNNNNNNNNNNNNNNNNNNNNNNNNNNNNNNNNNNNNNNNNNNNNNNNNNNNNNNNNNNNNNNNNNNNNNNNNNNNNNNNNNNNNNNNNNNNNNNNNNNNNNNNNNNNNNNNNNNNNNNNNNNNNNNNNNNNNNNNNNNNNNNNNNNNNNNNNNNNNNNNNNNNNNNNNNNNNNNNNNNNNNNNNNNNNNNNNNNNNNNNNNNNNNNNNNNNNNNNNNNNNNNNNNNNNNNNNNNNNNNNNNNNNNNNNNNNNNNNNNNNNNNNNNNNNNNNNNNNNNNNNNNNNNNNNNNNNNNNNNNNNNNNNNNNNNNNNNNNNNNNNNNNNNNNNNNNNNNNNNNNNNNNNNNNNNNNNNNNNNNNNNNNNNNNNNNNNNNNNNNNNNNNNNNNNNNNNNNNNNNNNNNNNNNNNNNNNNNNNNNNNNNNNNNNNNNNNNNNNNNNNNNNNNNNNNNNNNNNNNNNNNNNNNNNNNNNNNNNNNNNNNNNNNNNNNNNNNNNNNNNNNNNNNNNNNNNNNNNNNNNNNNNNNNNNNNNNNNNNNNNNNNNNNNNNNNNNNNNNNNNNNNNNNNNNNNNNNNNNNNNNNNNNNNNNNNNNNNNNNNNNNNNNNNNNNNNNNNNNNNNNNNNNNNNNNNNNNNNNNNNNNNNNNNNNNNNNNNNNNNNNNNNAAAAAAAACAGAAAACAUGUUUUUUUCCCUUUCCGAAAGAGGCAUGCCCGUGCCUCUCGCGAAAGCACAACCGUGCCUCUGGCGGAAGCAAAACCGUGUCUCUCGCGAAAGAAGAAAAAAAAUAGAAAACACGUUUUUUUUUCUUUCCGAAAGAGGCACGCCCGUGCCUCUCGCGAAAGCACAACCGUGCCUCUAGCUGAAGCAAAACCGUGCUUCUCGCGAAAAAAAAAUGCAUUUUUUGCGCAAAAAAAUUAUUUUUUCGAAAAAAAAUUUGGUCGAAAAGCUAGGGAAAACCGGUAGAAAACCAAAAUGUCAAAAAAACCAAAAAAAACUUUUUAAAAAGCCGAAAACGCGUGCAUAAAAAUAAAAAAACAAAAUUCGGAGGGAGUGCCCAGAGCGCGAAACGUGGCGAAUGGCUGUGAGCGCGCCAAAUGGUGCUUAUCGUUGCGAGACUCCCGAAAGAGCGCUCGUUAAUUAGUUGCUCCCCAAGCUUCCGGGCGGCGCGGGGAGCAGAACAAAGCGAUUGAUUACCCGUGCCGUGCCCGUGCGUGGUUGCCACACGAAAGCUCAGCUCAGGAGCGGCCGCUGCGCUAGACACGGGCCACUGCUUGAGGGAACCAACUGAUGGUCUUGAUCACCUAACUAAAAAAGUUGGGAGCACUACCCGAUCGGUGACCCAGACCAGACCGGACCAUCUGUGAUCGAUCUGUGUGCGCCAACCAACUUGUCCGUCGACCGCUCGAGCAACCACCCGCUAACCUAGACUGUUCCUUUCCGUUACCGUCCAUGCGCCCGAUAGCGCGCUCGUAUCAUACGCGAUCAAACUAGUCCGCCAUCAGCCAUAGUAGCAGUGUUGUCGUCCAGCUCACAGGCGUUUAAAGAAGCAGCAGGCGUGGCGUAUCUAUUGCCGGCCCCUCCUGCGCCUGCUGCUUCCACGAUCAGCUUCUUUCUUGGCGCCAGAUCGGAUCAUGACAAUCGUUGCGAGUAUCCACCACUCAUUCCCCCGGACCCGUAGAGAAAAUUAGAGGUCCAGCGCGCCCCACACGACUGAGGUGGCAGCAAUUGCCAAUUGCUAUGGACGAGGGCCUCCCUCCGUUCGCUUUCAUGAUUUGGUGUCCAUCUCGUACCGUACGUACCACAGGCAAGGUCCCUCCACGAGAACCCAAUUCUUUUUCUCGGUCUGCUUUGAUUAGUCAGUCUACUCUUGGGGUCAGGUAGAGAAAUUCCACAGGACCCGCUGAGUGGUUACUAUCUUGUUUGUUCCCCUAACCCUAAGCCUAGAAGAGAUCGUUUCAACCUUCCUUUUUUAAGGGUCGUUUCAAUCUUCGGUAACGGGCGGCCAUUGGAUGCCCAUGUCACGGAACAGACACAUAGGGAUCACGGGAUGUCACGCGGUACCGACCGCUCGGAAACUAUAAUCCAAACCCAGCUCGUAAUCAAAUUAGUACUACGUACUUGGCUUGCUUGCACACGUUACAAACGACCCGGUCCCAUAAAUUUACAGUAACCAUGGCUUUCAUCCACAUAUUUAACUGUUUUCGCAUCUGAAAAACUGGAGCGGCACACGCAGCACAGCGGCAGCCCCCUCGCGCCGUGGCGAAUGGCGGUACGUGCCGGCGCCGCGCACCGUAUGCGUCCGUGCCGAGCCCGAGUCCCCCACGUCAAGCGGACUGUCACGUACCUACGCCGAUCUUAUCGAGUUAUCCCCUCCGCCGCCGGGCUAUAAAUCCGAGCCCGAGAAGGACAAGGCUCGCUCACAAACCCAGCCAAAGCCGCCGCUUUCCGCUUCCCCACUCCGCACCGCACCGAAUCGCCCUCCCCCCCUCCCCGUGGCCGCGAAGGCGAGGGCGCGCGCUCCACCAACCACCAACCCCCCACGCGCGCACCGCGAGGCCGAGACAGAGCGCGCGAUCACCACCACAAGAGGAGCUCCCCGCACCACCACCACCUCACAGUCCGUCCAUCCGUCCGUCCAUAUAACCCUCGCCUUCUUGGUACCGGCUGCUCGAUCGACCGGGCAAGAAGAAGAAGCAAGAAGCAUCAGGAGAGAGCGAGAGCUAGCUGGAUCUGCUCGUGGCGGGGAUCGAACAAGAGGAGCGCUGGCGAUGCUGCAGCUGAUGAUGGCGCUGGCCUUCUCGGCGGCGCCGCUGACGCUCUACGUGCCGCCGGUGCGCAGCCUCAGCCUCUUCGUGGAGGCCAUGGAGACGCUGUGCCGCGAGUGCGCGCCCUACUCCCAGGGCGCCGUCUCCCGCUUCCGCCUCGGCCUCUCCCGCAUCUUCGCCGGCCUCGCGCGCGCCCUGCGCUAAGCCGGACGCGUCCGGCAAGCAGAUCGAUCCUUCUCCUUCUUCUUCUCGCCGUAGGUACACGUGCGCUACACCAUGGACAGGGCCACGCCCCCUUGCGCAGCGAAGCGGCCGUGCUCGUCCUGGAUCUUGAUUACUUAGCUUCAUAUAGUACUACUAGUUGCUAGCUUUGUUCUCGUUUUGAGUAGCAUUUAGAUAAGGAAAUGGGUAAUAAUCUCUGCCCGAAGAGGGCUUUUUUUGUGAGAGAUCGUGAGAAGAUACAUACAGUGUUCUUAUGUGGUGGGUGCGAUGCGAGGCAGUCCAUGAGAAAGUUUGUUGUCAUCUGUACAUAAAUCAUACUGCUUGCUACCAGUUGGGAAAGUUUGUGUGUUCUUGAGAUGUUGAUCGAACUGUUUUGAGUUGUAAUGGAAGAGCUUGACUUGUUGAUUCGGUCAGUGUCAUAUCUGUGUAUCCGUAUGCGCAAAUCAGGUUCCGCAAUUUCUGUUGGAGUGACGAUGAUGAAAUGCCAACAACUCCCAUCAUCAAAUUUCUUUUCUGUUCGUGCGCACUGCGGAGGAAAUGCUAGUGUAACAACUCGUCCAAUUUCUUUCUCGAGCGCACUGAGAAUUUAGUGGCAAUAGACAAAACGAGGAAGAGAAGAUGGGGGGAACAUGCCAGCACUUCCCGGCCUCCCUGCGACCGGUCGGUUUGCGGCGUUAGGUUUGGCGACUUGGCAGAACCGCGUUCUCUAAUCUGCAGAACGAUCGCGACCUCUCCCUCCCCGACGCGGUGAUGGUUCAAUCAAAUCAAAAUCAAUGUCAAUGUUAAUACUAGUUGUAGUUUGUGCGGCCAUUGUGCCUCGCACGCUCCGUUCACACACACGCAGGUGUCACAAAACUGUUCAUGUCACAUCCGGCCAGCUCGUGGCUCUGGCUGGCGUGCCAGUGUGCCGACACUUGUAACAAGCUCCGACGGCGUCACGGAGAUCACGUCCACAGUAACUGUACUCAAUAUUUUGGAGGAGUGGAUGUGGAUCAGAUCUUUCGGAAGGAUAGGCGUUAGUUAGGCCGCACUAAAAUAUUACGCCCGCGGGGAACAAGGAGCAUCGUACUUCAUACGUGGUGCUAUUUUAUUUUCUACUAUUUACAUGUAAAACAACUGAGCUUGUCGACGUCAACAAUGCUCUUGGCGCGUAAAGAAAACGCAGGGGAUGGCGAUGAGACGGCCUCAAGGUUCUAGAAGGGAGACGCCACCACCUAAUCAUUUUGUUACUCCGUCGCAGCAGCAGCAGCCAGAGGCCGGCGUGUGGCAGUUGUUUAACCUUACCUUCGGCAUCGUUGCACGAUUUCAACCGCAUUUUCCGGUUGACCUGCGCUAGUGGCGCACGGAGCACGCGCCACUCCUGGCCCUGUAUCUCUUGCAGCAGAUCUGAGAGUCCAUGUGGCCACAAGACGAACGGUAGCACGUCUCUCUCCAUGCUUGAUUAGUUAAUAAUCUUCUCUCCCUCCUCCACGGGGAUGGCCUUCUUCUCUCCAUGAGGAUCUCACGUUCGUCGUCGUGUUCGUCGACGGCCACGUCCUGCAGGGACCGGCAAGGCGCCCUGUUGCGACCGCCCGCGUCUGAGGGGUGCUACAAGCCCAUACCUCGUGCUGGAACGGCGGCGAUGGGCGACACGAGAUGCUGGAACCGGCUUGGCCGUGAGCUGCGACCGGCUACGGUUAGAGCUGCAUCCCCGGUGAAGGGGCGGCCGACUGUCAUCAUGUUAUGAAGGGCGGCGUGAGUGAGAUGCUGGAACCGGCGUGGUCACGAGCAGCAACCGGGCACGGAGGAGGCUGGGACGACGCAGCAAACUGCGAGAGGCGCGGAGGUGUUUCGAGCUCACCGGCGGCGGGGGGGUGGGGCUCCUGCGAAGCGCGGUGCCGUGCACUAAAAUUUUCAUACUAUUUUUUUUAACAUGUGGUAAAAACAACUGAACUUUGUGGACGUCAACAAUGCUCUUCGCGCGUAACACACAAGGGAUGGCGAUGAAACGACAGAAGUUUCUAGAAGGAAAACGCCACCUAACAUUCGAUAGCACCAUCAGCGAGACGACGGCCUGUGCCAGUUGUUAUUAACCUUUGGUAUCAACAUGCAUGGCACCUUGCAGGGUUAUAUUUAUCGAGUCUAAAAAAACAGUUAUAUUUGUCUUUGCUCGUUUUUCAACCGCAGUUUUCAGUUGACCUGCACUGGCGGCACAUGGAGGAGCACAUUUUUCAGUUGACCUGCACUAGCGGCACACGGAGGAGCACCACGUAUGGAGUAAUCCUCUUUGUGCUCAUGUGUGGUGGAGCUUUUAUUAGGGGCUGGCAGGUCUUUUGUUCCCUCUGCUAAUUUUGUCUUGGGAAUCCAAGAGUUCUUAUAUACCCCCUUCUGGUUUAGAGAGCUCAAAUUUGAAAUCUCAUCAACCAAGGAAGAUUUUGAUGGAUGACACGAGUUUUGUGGAUACAAAACUGCCCAGUGAAAUAUCUCCCACAUGUUCAACUCCCGAAGCAAUAAGUGCAUCACCCUCUCGCUUGUUGGACUUGCAUGGUGCAUGUAGAAUUUGAUGCAUGCAUGACCAAUAAUUCCUUCUCUCUAAUCUCUUCGAAUUAAAUGUGGUAUGAGACUCGAAGCACUUUAACUCAAUUGGACUCAAAGUGAGCCUAAUAUAAUGGAAAUCUGAAAAUUUUGAGAUGAGCCAUCUAAACAGGAAAGGAGGGAGUAUCCCGCACGGAUGGAGUAAUACGCUGAUGGCACGGUUCUUUUUGUGGAACAUGACUUGGCAAAGGCCACUAAUAUGAAAUUAUUUUAUGUGCUUUCGAGCAAUUAUCAGACCUUAAGAUUAAUUUUUGUAAGACUGAGUUUUUUUUUUUUGCUUCGGGGAGGCGAAGGAGUAUGAUCACUCUCAACUAUUUCGGUUUCAAUUAGGCACAUAAUCGUUUAGGUACGUAACUCUAUGCAUGUCAGGAAACUUAGUAAUGGAGAAUGAAAAAUAAUAGAGUUCAAUCAAUUAAGUAGCUGGAAAGGAAAACAUAUGUCUGUUGGAGGUCGGCUGGUUCUUCUCAAUUCUGUCUUAACAAGUUUAGUAAUGUUUAUACUAUCUUUUCUUGAGGUCCCAAAGGGAGUCCUAAAAAUGGAUUAUUAUAGAUCUCGGUUAUUUUGGCAAGGUGAAGGCCACAUCAAAAAAAUACUAAUUAGCCAAAUGGAACAUUCCGUGCCAACCUAAGGACAUAGGCGGCCUUGGUAUUCUGAAUAUUGAAGUACAAAAUAGGUGUUUCCUAACAACUUGCCGACUUGCUGACUCAUGGGCUGCUUUUGGUACAAUUCCUGAAUCAUCUGUAGUUUCAAUAUCAAAAGCUUGCAAGGUCAAUAUCAAAAGUUUUGGAUCUCCUUCCUUCCUUAUCACUUCUGAUUUUCUACUAGUUGUUUGGGGGGUUUGGCUCCUCUGCAAUUGGUACCUGUUUGAAUCUUCAUUGUCGUAAAUCAUAUUCUCCACUAAACCUUGUCUUUUUUUUGUAAUCUGUGAUCAUGUAGCAAAAUCACUCUAGGAAUUCUCUUGUUGCCUUGAGAACAUGAAUAGAAUCAGACCACAUGUCACGUACCUUAAGAUUGAUCAGCUUCUUUUUUGUUGCUAGGAGAAGGAUGGUAAAAGUGAGUUCGAAAGGGAGAUCGUCCACACCACUUGCAGAUCAGCGGGAGGACGACAAUUAGUACAGAAACAAGGCGAAGAGAGGUCUUUAUGCCACCUAAACUUGCAGAUCAGCGGGAGGAGGACAGUGAUAGGGCAAAAGGGGAUCUCUGCCCAUAGAUCAACAUAUACCUUGGUCAAGUUCUGGUUACAAGGAGGACGAUCAAGGAGGAUUGGGGAAGACGGGCGGGACGAAGGCAUGGAGAUCACUGUUUGGCGCCAACGCGAGUUCUGUUUGGCGCCAAGCAGGAGUAGGAGAUUUUUCACCGGACAAAUUGGGUGUUUAUUUUUAUUUUUUAAAAGAAUUAAGUGAGGAAAUUAGAGUAGUCAGAUUGAAAUUGAUGGCUGAUGUGGAUGUCUAAAGCACCAGUAAUAGUUCAACUCCAGAGGAGCUGAACCCCUCUUCUUAGCUCAUUGAUUGCUUGGUUAUUAACUUAUGAUACAUACCUAUAAUUCUAUAGUGAUAGCUAUACUUUGAAGCAGUGGGAUCCCCCAAAGCUGAAUGCAGUGCAAACAUAAAUAUUUAUAAUUCCGAAGUGACAGCUCGGUAUUGCUUGAAAUAAAUAUCAUAGCCACAACUUAAAUAUUAUUUUUAUUUAGAGUUGGAUGUAGAUAACAGAGCACCAACACAUCGGGAAAAUAAAGAGAAGCAAGGACGCCGGUGUCUCCGACGUGGAUCGGCGACCCUAUCCCUACCAAUCCCGACACGACCCAAUCAACGUGGCAGCCAGUGCGCAAUGGUCCUGCACACACACAUCCUGCGACAAACCCAGACGCGAUCAACAACGAUGCGACACGAACUGACUCUGACACGCACACACUCGCUCAUACCUGGGACUCAGCCAUGGCGUGAUUAUUCUAGCACAGGGCACAUGAUGGUUUCAUGUGACACCCCAAAAUUUUGACCUUGUUUUAUUAAUUAAAUUUUGCUAGGAAAUUAAAUUUUUUAUUUUCUGGGCUCCCUUUUGAUUUUUUGAACCAUUUUUCUCUCUUGUUAUUAUGGAGUUUUCCCCAAAAAGAAAACCUUUCAAAUAUAUUAUUGGGCUUGUUUAACCUCUCAAGAAAAACUUUUUUUAUUAGUAGAGCUAAUUACAUAAUUAAUUUGCUUGAUCUUUAUUUUCUUGAAAAAUGGUUUUCCAAGGUUAUAUGGCCAUAUUUGAACUACAACCAUUUGAUAAAUUCACUUAAAAUUCCAAUCAAAAUUUGGAGAUGUCAGGUGAUGUUUUUGAAUCACUUUUAUGCAAAAAUAUCUUUUAUUCAUAAAAUAUUUUGAGCUUUACACCCAAUUUUCUUCUUUGGUCCAGUGGGCAAUUUUGCACUACAACCCAUUUAAAUAUUUCUUUUUAGAUUCCACCAAAAUUAUGGGAUGUUAGUAGCAGCACAUGUUUCAACUUUAUGCAAAAACCCAGUGAUGUUCUUUGAAACUUUUGAGUGAAUCAACCUCAUCUUCAUUCUAGUCCAACAUGAUGGUUUGUACAACAUCCAUAUUCUUGCUUGCUCUUUGGCCCUUGAUUCUUUCCCCUGCUUGUAGACCACCCUACAAAAACCCUAAGUCCAGGAGCAUGCAACUAUUGGAAUACUUUUGGUCCAUGAGAUGAUGCCAUUUAUCUCUUGUCCAGAAUUGAAGUUCUGCAAAACUUGCACUAGCAAGUUUGUGCUUUUCACAAACUAACCUCACCACCCUCUUGUUCAUCUAAAGAGACUAGGAUCUGGAAGAUUUGGCCACUCCAAGAAAAGCCUAGGUGCCUGUGGCAUUUUGUCAAACACCUGGAGUGCAUGGACAUUAUUGGCAUGAGUUUUUGUUUGCAUUAUGAACUUGGUCUCCUGACCUAACCACCUUGUCCCUUGAUCUCCCCUCUAUCAAUAACCUAGUCAUGUUGCUUUCCAACCUCGCCCGAGCGCUCUGGAGUGCCAUGGCAUUUCGCCGAGCAGCUGGUGGGCGUGCACUGGGCGCGCCCAGAGCGCGCCAACUGCAGCCGCGCACCCAAGCAGCCGCGUCGCGCGUACUCCGUGCCCCUUGACACUUGGCCAUCCGCAGCCAGCACGCCACGUAUACUCCUGCACCGCAACGCCACCCCGACCACCCCUGGCACCCCACAAUGCCACCGUCAGGUUGGCCGUGGCGGCUAGCUGACGGCCGCAUUCAGGCCCCGGCCGUGUCGGCGCCGCCCGAGCCACCCCGGCUUGCCUCCUGCCCCUGGGAGCCGCGCAAGCUUAUCCCCUCGCUCGUCGGCUAGCUCUCGUCGCCUCCACGUCACCCUGCAAGCUACAGAACGUCGGUUCGCCGGCGACCUUAUCCUCGGCUGCGGAACCGCCAUGGCCACACUAUAUAAGAAGCACCCGAGCUCGUCCAGGCCUCACGUAGCCUCUCUCACUCCCUCACCGACCCACCCAUAGCAGUAGGAAGACCAGGGAAGUCGUCUUCUUCCUCUCCGGAAACUCCUGUCGCCGCCACUGCCCCGGCCAUUCCGGCGCCACCAGGACCUCCCCCUCUCCACUCUCUUCACCAGGAGAUCUCCCUCCCUCUCGUGAGUGCACCCCACGCUCAAUUUUGGUCGGGAACCACCAUAGCCCCGGCCCCCAAAUCCAAUCGAGGCCGCCAUCUGCCGCGAGGCUCGUCGCCGACGACUCCCUCCAUCCCCUUUACUCCCUCGACCACCGAAAGAACCGCCCCAGUCUUGCGGAUCCAUCCCCACCCUCGGGGGCCCGCGAGGAGCCGCCUAACGCCGGCGACAAUCGCUGGAGCCCCCGCCUAUGUUCGGCCAGAGGAAGAAGAGGGGAGGGGACUGGUCAAACCUGACCAGUGGGGCCCCUGGACCCACUGUCAGCGACCCAGCCCGCCUCCACACGUGUUUAAGUGAAGGCGUAUAACUCCCCAGUACGUUUCCCCUACACCGAAAAUGUAUUCCGUCUGAAGCGUUUUCUUUUAUAUCUUAAAAAAAAACAGAUUUUUACCAGGACUUUGACUGGCUAUAACUUUUUUAAUAUAACUCCAAAUGAAUUGAUUCUUUUUCCUACAUCUCUCAAAUUUUGUCUAGUUUAUUUUAAGAUUUAUUUGAAAAAUUUUCAAACAACUUUUUUGUGCUGUUUUGAAAUUGUGUGUUGAUUCCAAUAUUUUCAAAAUAGGAUUUUGGAGAGAGGAGAAAACUUUCAAAGUUUUGGAAUGCACCCUGACUCUCCACACCUUGAAGGCAAGCAUUCUGAACCCUGGCAUAAUAUUUUGCAUGCAUCAUUUGACACGAUUAUGACAUCACUUCAAUACGUGGAACUCAUUAUUUUAUGUGUUGAUGUGAUCGUUUGCAUGAAUGCUUAUUGGAAAUUUCCCUGCUGUUGGAAAUGGACAUGCUUGUGAUGAUGAUCAUCCUCGUAUGCCUUCCGUGCCUACCAGAAGGAAAACGGGAAAGUCUCUGUCUUGGGUAGACCCGAGCUUGUCCCUAGUUCCUCGUCGAGACGAGUGUGUCCGGCAUGGCAUGAGGGGUAUGAUGAGUGGUGACUCUGUCUGUUGGAUGAAAUAUAUUCGUUAUGCUAAUCAUGCAGGGAAUACUUAAAACCUCCUGAGUCGACCAUAGAUUGAGUCUUGUUCCAGUAACCCCAUACUUGUUUCGUACUACCACUCGUCUCUACAACAAGUAAAGUACGGUUCAGUAAGUUGUCAACCUCUUUCUAGCACACACCGUAUAGAGAGGCCAUGGUGGAAGAUACCGGUUGUAGAUGGUAGGCAGGCCACCUGGUCCGGGGGCAUGUGUGUUUCCGGUUGAGACCGAGAGGGGAGGCCACCCCUUAGAGCGCGCAAUAUAAAUUUGAUCCCAUGCUACGCGAGGUUGUAGCCUCCCCACUUAGAGUUUUGCUUGGCAGGUGUCGUGGGUGAUUCCAGACACAUGUGAGUUAAGCUGAUGUGUGCAAGUUAGGUGUGUUUCCAACUAAAAGGCCGUAGACGGAAUUAGUCCCGAUGGACUAAAGGAAUCCGUUACUCGUGGGCGUGGGUAAAGAGUACACCUUCUGCAGAGAUUAAACCUAUUCGAAUAGCCGUGUCCAUGGUUAAGGAUUACAGUCUGGGAUGGGUCAAGUGUCGGUCUUAGUGUCGGUCUUCGGAGGAGAAACUGUUAAACCAGAACAUGGAUUGUGACUUGUGACUUAUGAUGAUUAUGAUUAUUUUUGUUAUGGACUAACCCCUUUAUAUUAUUUGAAAUAUUGAGUAUCCUUGGGAUGGUUUUACCUCCUGGAUAUUCACUAUAUUUAUUUACUUUAUAAGCCCUUUAUGUGGUGUCGCUCAGACGCCCGACUGUGACAUGCUUGUUAUUUAUUUUAUAAGCCCUUUAUGUGAUGUCGCUCAGAUGCCCGACUGUGGCAUGCUUGUUAUUUAAGCCCUUUAUGUGGUGUCGCUCAGACGCCCGACUGUGGCAUGCUUGUUAUUUAUUUUAUAAGCCCUUUAUGUGGUGCCGCUCAGACGCCCGACUGUGGCAUGCUUGUUAUUUAAGCCCUUUACUAGAUGACUCAUUGCGCCAAUGGCGCAAAGGCCGAGAGGGAGUCAAGUAUUGUGAGAAUAUUUAGACACCCAAGUCGAAAACCAAAUGUGGCCAACACUCCCGCAUCCUCUGCUUGGAAGCCGCCUUUUCUCACCGGAUCUAACAUAGAUACAUGAUUUUUCAAGAGCAAAUUUUAAAGAAAAUAUAAAGCAUGGAAGGCUUUAAGUUGUACUAUUGAGACCAUACCACCAUAUCUUCAUUUAGUUUCUUUAGAAAUCUAAAGGUCUAAGAGGAUGGUACAUGUGAGAAGCUGUGAAUCCACAACAAAAAACUAAACUAACUUUCAAACAAAUAUUUCAAGUUUGGAAGCCACAAAGAAGCAGCCCAGAUCUCCCAUUGUAGUGGAGGUACAUGUCCUUAAUCCUGCAUCCACAGCCAAUAAUUUUUCAACACCUAAAUCCACGAAAUCCAACCGAAGGAAAUAAUGGCAGAAACAUGCGCCAUGGCUUACAUCUCCGAGAAGGACUUCUUGGCAUUCUUAUGUAGGUUGGACACAACAAUCCUUGCCGCGAGCUGCAGAAGAACCACACAGGCACCUUCCUUCACCUUGCCCUUGGGGAGGAGGGGGGCAACACUUGCAGCGCUGUGACAAGGCUUUGCGAACGCCGCCUGCGAGAGCGCGCAGCAGAGGGCGUCGAGAGUGGAAGCUGCCUCCGCCUUGGCGAGAGAGUAGUGGCCACGCGACUCGAGGCAACACACGAAGCGGUCGCGCUGGAGCAGCACGCUGUGCACAGAUGUGUAGGCAAGUAACAAAGAUUGGUCAAAGGAAAACAAAUUAUCCAAAAGAAGAAAGGUUUUAUAUAUUUUCAACGUACCCAGCCAUAAAAUCAGAUGUUUCUUGAUUAACAAAAUGAACACAGAAUUAAGCGGGCAUAGGAGGUAUACAAUCAUGUACUGACAAAAAUCAGAGGGGUUAGAUUACGUUGAAAUGAGAUAAAUCAUCAAGGUUCCAAUGACAGAAAUCGUUGGGCCCGAUGCACUGAUUAAUGUUACAGCACACAGGCAAGCUAGACAUCUUCGUCUGGAGCGAAUACUUUCUUCUUCCUAUAUAUAUCGAAGGUGUCUGAAAGUAUGAAGACUGGAAUCAAAAAAUAACAGGGGACAAACCAUAAGUAAGCACUCAUUGCAAUAUACCUGAUCAAUCAGUAUUAGGUUGUUAAACAAGGGCAGGCAAAAAGAAAUGAAGAAUAAUUUGAUAAUUAAUGUAGCCUUACUAUACCGGCCAUUGAAACGAAUCACUAACCAAGAUCUUUAAUUUUUUGAUGAAUUCUUGUUGGGUUCUAAAGAAGGGUGAAAGGAACCUUAGCAGAAGACGAUGCCUAUCCAUUGGUUUUACGACUUCCGUCAAACUACAUUAGCAUGAUAUCUAUGUGAGGUUCACGCAUUCAAAAAUAUGGCCGGCUAUAAUUCUAUGGUCUGUAAUUCUACAAAACCAGAUAAAUGUUUUGGAAUGGCUAAAGAUAACAAGAAAAACAAAAUUAGUAACUUUCGGCCAACAAAGCAGAAGUCUAGGAUUACUGGUUUGGUGUCAGCCUAUUUCUUAAAGCACAAAGUAGCAUGGCAAGACAACCUUUCUUUGAGCAAAGUGAGCAUAACAGCUACCCAUUAAAUGCAGUUAUGAAGGAAAAUUGGCAACCUAACUAUAAUUGCAUAACAACUUAUUUUCCAGCAGAAACUACAUCAUUUCAUAGGCCAACCUGGAAGCAAGGAUUCACCUUAAAUGAAGAAGGAAGCCGAACACACCCACAUUAUAGCAGCAACAAGAGAAUUUCCAAGAAUUUAUAGACUACAAAAACUCACAGAAACUCCACUAUGUGGGACAAACUCACAAUUGGCGAGGUUGGUGAGCAAUUGCAUAGGGACACGGUUAAGCAUGCAAACUCAAGAACCUGAUUCUAAAAAUUGGCAAGCGUGAGAUAUUACAAUUGGCGAGUGUGAAAUAUUAGAUGCUAAGCAGGCAAAUUCAAGAAGAUGAUUCUAACAACUACCUCUAGGAAAGUAGUCUAGAAUUCAUGUAACAUGUGGUGUUCUCUGAAUAACUGAGAAAAUCAGAGGAAACAAUAGAAGACGGUAAGAAAUAAUUUUAUAUUGCAUAAUAAGAAUAAUUAAUGAAGCAUUGGGGCAUAAGAAUACAUAAAUGACUCCAUGGUCAUCUCUUUAGCAAGAUCUGCACUUCAAUCCAAAAGUAAGAGAUGCAUGUUGCUGAUCACUUGCUAAACGAUGAAACAUUCAUGCGGACAUUAUCACUCACUAACUGGUAAACUGGCACACAAAAUACACAUGCACGAGGUAAUGGCUCUAUGGGCGUCAAAAACAUCACCGAUUCAUACCUGCACACGAAUUGAUGAACAAAGGUGAGGACACGCGUAGCUGGCAAGGCAGGAGGAAGCAUUGGCAGGUAAGGAAAGAACUGCAACCAAGGGAACAGUAGAGAACAUCAGUGGAAGGCACAACAAUGGAAGAAAUUGAAUAAGCUAAUUUUUUUAGUGUUCAGAAGUACUGUACAAAAUAACCAAAUGCCACCACUAAUUCUUUAGCAUGUACCAUAAUCAAGCGUCAUUGGAAAUUUUAUUUAGUAGGGAAUCUAAAAGGAGAGAGAUAAAUAUGCUAAUUGACAUGGAACAUCCUACUGUGCUUGUUUGCAUUCUCAAAUCACCGUGUUGAUGUUAAAUUUAUUCCUGAAGAUAGAACUAAGGCAUCGCAAAAUAUUUGAAUGACUGGAGCGUAAAGGAAUCUGGGAAGCUACAUCAGUGUUCAGGUUCACUCAUGAACGAAAUGAUAUCACCCCCUACCAAAUCCAGCAAUAAGAUCAGUGCGGAUGCACUAAACGCCAGAAUCCGAUCCUAGCCAAGCAUAAAUUUGCCAUUCAACAAGAGAAAAUUGAAAUUAUGGGCUGGAGGAAGUACACACUGGGAUGGUACUUCUCGACCAGCAGCAUCACCAUGCCAUCCCCAGCUUAUGCAUUUUUUUACAACGUCAUCUUCAAAUAGUGGCUAGCAUGUGCAGUUUGGCAGGGAAUGAAUAGUCUGCAUGUGGUGAUCUGCACAUAUUAUGAACAUACAUACUAAGGCUUUAGUUCAAAUAAAUUAGUCCUAUUGAAUUAGUAAUGUACUGUGCUGAUUAUUAGUCCGACCAUGCAAGUAUAAGAAAAUCAAUACAGUAGUGCAAGGUCAUACAAGAAAACCGGUCCUAGAAAGCUAAUUCUUUUAGUGUUCAGAAUUUAUCAUCUCAAAUUUGUUAGAACCACACAGGCCAAAUUUUUUUUUGCAAAUACAAUAUAUGCAGAACUUGGUUCUGUUUACAGUACACAUGCCUGAAAGCUUAGUUGCUUCAGUUCUCUGAGAAUUACCUAGUCAGUCAGGCACAAUUACAGCCUGUAAAAGCAACAAAUAAUGAAAAAAGUUAGAUAAGUAAAUCACAAGCCACAACAGAGUUGUAAAUGUUUACUUCAUCAAAAGGUUGGCCAGUAGAUGUAAGGUUAGAUCCACAUGGAUAAAACGUAGAAAAAUAAUACUCCACCGGCGGCAUCAUGGCCAUGGCCUCGAGCGGUGGUAGGAGUGACGCAGAGGGGGAUGGAGUGGAGGCGCUAUGGGCAGGCCGACACCGACCUGGUCACUUGAAUCUGAAGCAAGAUGACUAUUUUGUAUUGUUAAUGAAAAAAUUGAAUACUGAAAUGUAUCAAGAAUUAGAGAAUGUACUGCAUGAAUCAAGCUUUUGACCCAGAAAAUAAAACCAUACAAUUCUGUGCUAACCUUUAGUUCUACAAAAUUAACAUAUACUGAGAUCUGUUCAAGCUCCUUCUUAAAAAAUAGCUAUAUUAGACGGUUCCCAAAUUCAACAAAAGGUGGGUUCACCCAUGCGUACUAUCAAAGACCUGACCACUUGACUUUAAAGCAAGAUGACAGUUUUAUGUACGACCAAACAAGGGCGCAGGUGACAAGAUCUCUGCAAAAAUCAAGCCAUUCAAAUGCACUUGAGAUCAAAAUACAUCAUGCACAGACAAAUGGUAUUAGCUACGCUGUCGUUAUUCUAUUUUGUUUCUUGAGCAGCGACUCAAUUAAUAUUCUCACUGAUCCAGUUUACUCAAGAACUUCUGAACCAGUUGCAGGACUCCUAUGGACUAAGGUACUCUAGCUGCUUGCAUCUUUCAGAGGAUCUAAUUAGAACCAAUUCUAUGGGUGGUUUAUCUUUUUAGAACUAUUAGUAUUCACUCAGUGGAGAAGUGCAAGCAGGAGCUGACUUCAGUUGGAAUAAGUGUGCUAGAAAAUGUGGCCAAUAGAUUGUACGUCGGCAAAGUACGAACUGAAACACUUGAGGAUCCCAGUGUUAAAAGUGGAUGUUAAAUUCAGACCUUAUCAAUGUAGGGUGUGAAUCCCAAACACUAAACGCGAUCUGCAGGCAUAAAAAGAAACAAAUAAUCUUUAGAUUCUCCCCUGCAGAAUAGUAGAAUAAUAACAUUUUGAUUCCUGGACAACUCCUUCCUCCAAAUCACAUUCAGUUGACCCUUCUCCACUCUCAAAUCCUCCUUCUGGGGCUGAAGAUUUGGAGGGCCGCAACUCAGUUCUCAAACAGAUAAUAGAGCAUGUAGAAACCAAUCCGAUCCAAUCCUCCUGCAGCAGAGAGGGAGCUGCACGAGCGCGAACACGAACAGAGCACAACAACCAUCCGCUUGUGUGAGAAAGCUGAAUCAAAGGACCAAAUCGAAUAGAGACAGACACAUGGAGGAGGUGAAGAGGGACGAGAGGGCACCUUGAUGAGCUCCAUGGCGUCAGCAUCCCGAGAAGAAGCACACAGACGAGGGACGGCCGGUGGGCAGAGUGACCGCUCACGGACGGGAAGCUCGGGCGCGGGCUCGGCGGCCUCGCGGCGCCGGCGGGGGGAGGAAGUGGCAGCUGACGCCGACCAUCGUCGUGGCUCUCCCUGCCGGCAGGCGCUCGCUUCUCCCCACCGCUUCCCACUGCCCACCCCGUCGUGGCUCUCCCUGCCGGCUGCCGCUCGCUUCUCCCCACCGCUUCCCACUGUCCACCCCUGCUCUCCAUGGAGACGAGAUGAGCCCCAUCUGGACCAGGCGCCGUCGAUGGAGGAGGGAGGUGGAGGGGCUACGCCGAGGGAGAGGAAGAGGAAGAGGAAGAGAAGGAGGCGGCCGGAGGAAGCGAGCACUCGAGACCUUAUCCCUUCCCUCGUAGCUACAGUAACGCAGACGAAUAAAAGGAGAUGUGGCCACGGCCGCUAGUUGGGCACACUUGCUCAUCCUUUAUAUGUUCAAUGUGGUGUCGCUCACACGCCCGAAUGUGGCAUGUUUGUUAUUUAUUUUACAAGCCCUUUAUGUGGCGUCGCACAGACGCCCGACUGUGGCAUGCUUGUCAUUUAUUUAUCAUAUAAGCCCUUUAUGUGAUGUCGCUUAGACGCCCGACUGAGGCAUGCUUCAUAUCAUGGCCCUUUCGAGGCGUCGCUACAGACACCUGAUCGGUGCAUGUUAUUUCUACCCCAGCAUUGCAUAUCCAUGUUGCAUAUAAAUAACCUGCUUGCAUGCAUCAGAGAUAUUUUAUUUUAUGACUGACGAUGUGAUCAUAGAAUGUUUCAGCGCACGAUUAUCAUUUAUAUUAUACCCGUGUUCAUAAUGUUUGCGAGUACAUUCAAAGUACUCACUGGCUUGUCCCUGGCUAUUGUCUUGGCCAGAUUUCUUGCAUGGAGAGGAGCGUUGCGAUGACAGCCCCGGAACCUAAGCAAUGGUGAUAGCAGCCUCGCGAAGAUAGGAGUUAACCUGGUUAGCUGUUCCUGUGGGAAAUGGAGUUCCACGGACACUGAUGAUCCACAAACCGCUCCCGCCAUCAACCACUAGAAACCAUUUGUUGUACUCCUAGGCCAGAAUGGUCUUGUACUACAUAUUUUAUGUAUUUUUGCUUGGAAUUUCUGUAUCAAGUUGGUGCCUCAUCAGCUAACAGUAAUCCUGGGGCUGGUGAGCACAAGGGUCAUUUUCUGGAAAUUAUAUCCCGAAAAUCCGGUCGCGACAUUUCAGUCGAGCAUCAACAUCCUUUGGCCGCUGGCUGGCUAGCAGCACGUGGGCCAGCAGGGGCACAAGGGUUCGCCAUCGGCAUCCGUCAGGACGGCGGUGGUUCCGGGCUGCUCUUGUGGUCCGACGACGACCCUUGCGUCUACCAGGAGGCCUGAUUUCGCGGAGAGAUUGUUGUGCUCUGCGAGCAGCCGUCGAGCGUCCUGGUGAUGCGGAGAUGCAUCGGCGGCGGCCGUCAGGUGCCCUAGGGCCAGGACCAGCAGGAACACGGCGGCCGUCGUCUUGAGAGCGGAUGUAGAAGCCAUGGCUGCUGCUAGCUAGCCUGAGAUCGGCAGGAGGUCAGGCUAUAGAUAUAGGUGGCUAGAUAUGGCGAUCGGAGAUGAGAGGUAUGACUAAAUGGUAUAACUGUUUGUAUAGAGACAUAAUGCACUAGGUGGACAAAAAGGCCAUCGUUUUAAAAUAAAUCUGCACUCACGGAAUGACACGAAAUGACACAUACAAUAUUGGUGUGUGCAACAGCCAAGGUCGGCCGAGAUCAACCUGUCUGCUUCUCCAAAGUUGAGACCAGGAACAUUAUCAAGGAUAUGCCCUCAGAAAAAUCGCCAGGCCCAGGUGGCUUUACUGGCCUUUUAUACAAAAAAAUAAUCAGUACGUGCUACUACUCCUGGUCUGGUAUCUCUUACUGCAGAAAGAAUCCAGGUGGCGACAUGACGAACGGUACCACGUCUCUCUCCAUGUGCUACAUGCUUACAAUUUGUUAAUCUCUCUCACAGCUGCCCACACAUGCCUUCAUUCUAGUACAAUCUAGCACGCAGCCAGUUUAGAUUCCAGAAUGCUGCCAUGCAAAAAGGAGAAUGAUUUUGUGAUUAACCAUCCUGGUUUAGUCUAGAACCUGUUGAUUGAUUAAUAAAAAUUAGUGUUGCCGUAUCAUAACUUCACAGGGUAUCAGUUAGAAGUGGUACCGCUGACUACGAACACUUAAUACUACUCUAGACAUUUUGGCUCAAGAGGGAACAACAUGCCUAUCCAUUCGCCCGCUUGCCUUUCCUGCUUAGACAUGGCAACUAUGUCAGACCAGGUCAGCUCUUGCAUGGGCAAUCAUGCGUUGAUUGAUGCUCCACCACCACUUUUAUCCGGUGGCAAAGCAUUUCUUCUCCCAAACGCAAAGUCGCCAAUGGAUGCCACCUUUUCAAGAACCACCUGGA